rnacentral:snRNA from 1 species
GCGGCGAGAGCGGGUCGCCG